rnacentral:rRNA from 1 species
UACGUAGGAGACGAGCGUUGUCCGGAGUUAUUGGGCGUAAAGGGUGCGCAGGCGGCCCCGCGCGUGGACAGGUGAAAGCUCCUGGCUCAACUAGGAGAGGUGUGUCCAGACGGCGGGGCUUGAGGGUCGUAGAGGGGCGUGGAACUCCGGGUGGAGCGGUGAAAUGCGUAGAGAUCCGGAAGAACACCGACGGCGUAAGCAGCGCCCUGGGCGACACCUGACGCUCAGGCACGAAAGCUCGGGGAGCAAACAGG